GGAACCUUGAAAUGAAUGAAAUCCUAAUAGAAGACUAUGAAGAUUACGACAUAAAAUGAAACAGGCAUGUGAAGACAGUGACUAAAGUCCCUUCAUAUGAACCAAACCAAUAGAAAAAAAACAUAAAACAGCUUAACAUUUGUUUUCAAGCAGGAAGACCACGUUUUUAGAAAAAUUUCUCAUGACAGUUUUACUUGAAUAAGCAAUUAAUUAAAAGGUACCGUGAAUAAUGUGUUGUGUGUAAUGGUGUUCUGGGACAUUUGAGGAAUGUUCCCAUGUUGAAGGAGGACAUUUCGACCAUUUACGAGGUUAAACUGUGUUUCAUAAAUGAAAUUGUAAUAAA